AUUGAACGCUGGCGGCAUGCUUUACACAUGCAAGUCGAACGGUAACAGGCCGCAAGGUGCUGACGAGUGGCGAACGGGUGCGUAAUGCAUCGGAACGUGCCCCGUCGUGGGGGAUAACUACUCGAAAGAGUAGCUAAUACCGCAUACGAUCUAUGGUUGAAAGCGGGGGACCGCAAGGGCUCGCGCGAUUGGAGCGGCCGCUGUCAGAUUAGGUAGUUGGUGGGGUAAAGGCUCACCAAGGCACCGAUCUGUAGCUGGUCUGAGAGGACGACCAGCCACACUGGAACUGAGACACGGCCCAGACUCCUACGGGAGGCAGCAGUAGGGAAUUUUGGACAAUGGGCGCAAGCCUGAUCCAGCAAUGCCGCGUGCAGGAAGAAGGCCUUCGGGUUGUAAAAUGCUUUUGUACGGAACGAAACGGCUCUGGUUAAUACCCGGGGCUAAUGACGGUACCGUAAGAAUAAGCACCGGCUAACUACGUG
rnacentral:rRNA from 1 species